CUCAUCCACACUGUCUGUUGUGCUGCAGUAUGUUGCUGUGAGUGUAACCACCAUUCUGAUUAUUGUAUCAGGGAGUAUUUUGAUUUGGUGCUGGAAAAAGAAAACCAAUAGACCAACAGAUCCAACUGCUGCUGAUGACUGUGAAAUUCCAGAGACAAACAGACUGUAUGAGGAGAUCCCAGCUCAGAUCAGACCUGGUCCUGUGGAAAACUGUACUUCUUUUUCUUC